GCUGAUGGUCGUACCACCCUGAACAUGCCCGGUCUCUUCUGAUCUUGGAAGUUAAGCAGGGUUGGGCCUGGUUAGUACUUGGAUGGGAGACCACCUGGGAAUACUGGGUGCUGUAAAUC
rnacentral:rRNA from 1 species